rnacentral:lncRNA from 1 species
GGAAGUAACGAGUAAAAUGAUGGUUAUCAGCCUUCCUUUCAUUUGUGUUCAUUUUGUUUUUGAAAGAUUCUCCCCAACGCCCGAAAGCUUGAAGGAAUGAGUAACUCCUCUCUUCUCAGGCCCAGUCCCAAGGCACAAGGCCACUUGUACCAGCAGCGUGAGUCAGCAAGAUAGCAGAAGCAGGAAGAGAGCCGGCCAGAAGACACCUACCCUGGCCGGAAGACACGUACCCCUGAAGAUCGAGAAACAGGCCAUCUGGGUACCACAUAGCAGUUACAUCAGACUGGGACAAUUCCUGUUUACGGAAGACUAUAAAACCCUGCCCCCUACUCAUUUGGUGCUGACGCCAUUUUAGGCCUUAGCCUGCCUGCACCCAGGCGCUCAUUAAAACAGCAGGUUGCUCCACACUGCCUCGUGUUGUCUGUUGGCACACUCUCAAGAGUUUGAACGGAUACAAGAAUCUUUCAUCUGGUGCCGAAACCCGGGAGGGGCUCCGGUCUUCGUCCCCCGUGGACCUACCCCUCCGCCCCAGAAAGCAGGCCACAGCAGCCGGACAAAGGAAGCUCCUCAGCCUCCAGUUGCUUCUCUGUGCAUGCACAUCAGUCACUGAUCUCACCUACUGGGAGUGAAGAUGGAAUGAGAAGAACAGAGAAACAAUGACAGAGUCCUUACAAACACCAUGAUACAAGAAGGCAAUGGGGAUAUGUUAUCCUAAAGGAAUCCUAAAAGAAGUGAUCAAAAAGGUGAACAGAAAACCAAGUGGGAGUACUGUCACUGAGGAUGAGUUUCCAGAGAGAAUUAAUGCUGAAGAAGCUAUUGCAGACACUGCUGAGUAUGAAGAACUAAUUGGAGAAGGAAGCCGUUGUAUAGCAGAUGCAGAGCAGCAGCAAAAAUGGUAAUGAAAAUAGAAGAUAAAUUAGAAAAUUUGGAAAAACCCAAACAGAUCAGCCAUAUUGAAGGGAAAAAGAAAAACAAAACAAAGUGGGAGGGCAGAAAUGUAGAACGGUAUACACUCUUUUAACCCCAAGGAUGAAUGUAGCCAAGAACACAGUGGGGACUUAGGAGUCUCAGCACAGAGCAUUCUCUACUCCCUACUGCUCAGGCAAAGAACUCCUUCAUCAUGCAGAACCAAAACUGGUGUAGAGUCUUAAAUGACCUGGGUAUCUCUACGCAGAAGAAAGCGCUUUCCAUGUAAAAGGAUUAACUUGAACCUGGGUGCUCAAGGGACACCCUAGGCUGCUUAUCCCACUGAUUCUGAUCUGACUGUGUUAAGUAAUAAAUCAUGUGGUUACAUAUUCACAUUAUCUUGUGUAGUUUUCUCUCACAUUGCUACUUAAAGAGAAACCCCAGACACAAUAAUGAGGGAGCUCAGUAUAAGGGUAUGAAGAGAUCCAGGCAAGCUAUAACCUGGAGAGCUCCUUGCCCUUCAGAAGGUGAGACCACUCAGAAUGAGGGAGAAAACGUGGCCCAGCCCACUUUAUGAGGAAGCUACAAACAGAAUUCUUAGAAGACAGCAGCCAAGGGAGUAGCAGGGAUGGGGACAGGGAGGGCUGAGACUAGAAACUCACAGAGGAACAAACAAUUGAGUAAACUGGAAACAAGUAACCACAAAAGCACUAGAAAAUAAAAUGAAAGCUUUGCAUGAAUAAUUGACAAAUUUGAUCUUCCUUGUGAAUGCAGAAGAAGGAACUAGAAACAAAAGAUAAUGAGGCCGCUUUCUCUGCUUUGAUCUGAAGGACAACUUUCUAAUUAUCUGAUC